ACCCGUUCCCAUACCGAACACGGAAGUUAAGCUCUUCAGCGCCGAUGGUAGUCGGGGGGUUCCCCCUGUGAGAGUAGGACGCCGCCAAGC
rnacentral:rRNA from 1 species